UACGGAGGGAGCUAGCGUUGUUCGGAAUUACUGGGCGUAAAGAGCGCGCAGGCGGUCGUUCAAGUCGAGUGUGAAAGCCCCCGGCUCAACUGGGGAGGGUCAUUCGAUACUGAUCGACUCGAAGGCAGGAGAGGGGAGUGGAAUUCCCGGUGUAGUGGUGAAAUGCGUAGAUAUCGGGAGGAACACCAGUGGCGAAGGCGACUUCCUGGCCUGUUCUUGACGCUGAGGCGCGAAAGCGUGGGGAGCAAACAGG
rnacentral:rRNA from 1 species